GCCUUCGUGGUGUAGUGGUCAGCACGCUCGACGCGUAUUCGAGAGGUCCGUGGUUCGAGUCCCGGUGAGGGCA
rnacentral:tRNA from 1 species